rnacentral:rRNA from 1 species
CCUACGGGAGGCAGCAGUAGGGAAUCUUCCGCAAUGGACGAAAGUCUGACGGAGCAACGCCGCGUGAACGAUGAAGGCCUUCGGGUCGUAAAGUUCUGUUGUUAGGGAAGAACAAGUGCUAGUUAAAUAAGCUGGCACCUUGACGGUACCUAACCAGAAAGCCACGGCUAACUACGUGCCAGCAGCCGCGGUAAUACGUAGGUGGCAAGCGUUGUCCGGAAUUAUUGGGCGUAAAGCGCGCGCAGGCGGUUUCUUAAGUCUGAUGUGAAAGCCCCCGGCUCAACCGGGGAGGGUCAUUGGAAACUGGGAAACUUGAGUGCAGAAGAGGAAAGUGGAAUUCCAAGUGUAGCGGUGAAAUGCGUAGAGAUUUGGAGGAACACCAGUGGCGAAGGCGACUUUCUGGUCUGUAACUGACGCUGAGGCGCGAAAGCGUGGGGAGCAAGCAGGAUUAGAUACCCUGGUAGUCCACGCUGUAAACGAUGAGUGCUAAGUGUUAGAGGGUUUUCCGCCCUUUAGUGCUGAAGUUAACGCAUUAAGCACUCCGCCUGGGGAUACGGUCGCAAGACUGAAACUCAAAGNGAGUGACGNGNGAGAGCGACGACGACGACGACGGAGGAGGAGG